GCUUGCUCAGAGCCAGCAAGAAGCUGGAGACAACAGCCUUCAAAGACGGACCCCUUGAGAGUAAAUGCAAUCAUGUGAGUGACCUGCCAUCGCCUUUGCUGUAUUCUACUGCUUAGGCCCACACUCAGAGAGGAAGAUGGUACCUGGUGAAUUUCUUUAGGGAUCAUUGGGAUUACUUCUAGACCACCUAGAACACAUGAUCUAGGAUAAUCUCCCCAUGUAAGGAUCCUCUACCCAAUCUCCUUCACCAUGUUCCUUUCGCUGUAUAAAAUAUUAAAGGGUCAGGAGACAUAAAAGCAUGGAAUUCUCAUCCUGAUAGAAGAAAGGCUGAAGAUGAUAUCUUCAAUUUAUUACUGCAUUUGUCUGCAGGCAGUUUUCUGAUUGAAAUGACACCAAAUCCACUGGGAAGUAGAAACUAUGGAUUUGAUGAGGAUGCAGCCCACACAUCUCUGAUUAAACCUUUGACUCUGUUACUACAGCUGUCAAAAUAAACUGAUGUGAAGUAUGAAAAAAAAGAGAGUUUCCAUUUUUAACUGCCUUUGCACUCUUAUAACUCUCUCAAAAUAUUUUCUGUUCAUUAUAUAAAAGAAGCAUAUUUUCUCUGCUGUAAACCUGUACAAUGCAUACUAUAUGGAGAUUGCAUACAUGUCAGAGGUAAUGUUAUUUAUUAUCCCAAAGACAAUCUCAUGUAGAAGAUUCUUUCUCACAACCUCCAUGUAGUUUAUUUUUAAUAUAUAUAUUUGCAAUAGCUCUAUAUUCUUGAAAUUUUCUGAAAUGGU